CGCCCACACGCCCGACCGGCCUCAGGGGGCUGUGGCGGCGACCGGCUCCGCGCUGGGGCCCUACCCGCUGCCCUGGCGGGUGGGGCGGAGCAGGUGGGGGGCGCCGCCGUGUUAGUUACCGCCUCGGGGCGCUGAGGUGCAGGCAGUGUGGAGGAGGAAGCCGGCUGUGGUAGUGGAGACAUGAGAGCUGUGAAGUGCAAGAAGCAGCCGUGUGAGAGGACGAGGACCCAGGGGAGGAAGGUCUCGAUGUGCCACUGGUAGGUGGGUGUAGCAGUGGUGGGACCUGAAUGACAGCGGGACUAAAGCUGGGACUAAACCUCUGCCUCAGUGGUUCGGCACAGCCUGGAGCCGGAUGAGGUGCGAGGGAAACCUACUUGGGUUGAUGUGAGGCAAAAUGAGCGGAGCGAGCAUAGGGCUUAAGGUGGGGUGAUACCCAGAAAAUAGAUGGAAGGAGGAAAAGGGCGUGGAAUAAAGUCUUCCUUGACAGGGAGAUCGUUUGGUUACACGAGAUUGGGGGAAAAUGAGAUCUGUAGGCUUUUGGAGAGGAUGUGGAUUUGGGUAGAGAACCAGGGAGAACUUGGAAUUGAGUGAAAAACUAGAGUGGGGACUUACAAAGUAUGAAAACAUAUGUGGGCUGUAGGAGGGAGGUUGUGAUAGAGCACAAGACUUCAAGCUUUCUGGAGCUGUAGGUUCCUAUAUGUUAUUGACCUUUUGCUGUCUUGACUGUUUUAUGCCCCAACUUGGCUACCACUGACUGGAAGGUGGGCUGCAGUUCUGAAGCACUCGGACACUACUGUGAAGAUUCCUGUAUUCCGUGAAGAGUGAAGCACCUCAGUGAAGAUGAAGUAGGGAAUUAAAAAAAGCCUGAAGAGAACAAAAGAAGAUGAGCACUGUUUGUUGUGAACAUAAGCUGAAGUCUUGAAGAGAGUGAAAAAGCGACAAAGUUCAGACUUUUUAUGAUGUGUGACACAAGGAGAUUUAAUUGUGUUUAUAUGGCAGUUUUCUAGUAUCUGACCCUGGUUCUGUUGUGGUUCUUCCAACAUAGAGCUUUAACAAUUAGAAGAAUCCAAUUUCUGUGGCGCUCAUUUCUUUAUGAAAUACUUUGUCAGGCUUAACUUUCUUCAGUGGUCUGAUACUGUUAAAUGAUCGGACCGCUGUUGUGAUAUAUGUUCUCUUUUCCUGUUAUGUGAAUGCUUUUUUCAUUUUAUGUAAAUAAUUCUUGUACCAAACAUAACAUGUCUUAAGCAUUUCACUUUUUAAAAAUAGUAAAAAAAAGCCAGUCUUGGCAAAAGUUAAUAAGCUUCUUGACUAGCAUCUACAUGCAAAUGUUUUCUCUCUCCAUAGCUUGUAAUGAGCUUUUUCCCUCCAUCCACCACUUGGGUUUCUUGUAGUGUUGGGUUUCAGGAUUUGACACAAAUGAUGAAAGAAGGGAUUUCAGGAAUAUCAUUCUUCAGUUUGUGAGAUUCUGAUUCAGCCUGGUGUGAGUUUUCAGUGGAUCAAGUGGAUGUUAAUUCCUGUCAUACGACUACAGUCAUAAAACUCUAAUCUUGAGCCAUAUCUUGUGAUUUAAUAUAAGAAUUAUUUUUUAACUUUUUUUUUUUUUU